CCUACGGGAGGCAGCAGUGGGGAAUUUUGGACAAUGGGCGCAAGCCUGAUCCAGCAAUGCCGCGUGCAGGAUGAAGGCCUUCGGGUUGUAAACUGCUUUUGUACGGAGCGAAACGGUCUGCUUUAAUACAGUGGGCUAAUGACGGUACCGUAAGAAUAAGCACCGGCUAACUACGUGCCAGCAGCCGCGGUAAUACGUAGGGUGCGAGCGUUAAUCGGAAUUACUGGGCGUAAAGCGUGCGCAGGCGGUUAUAUAAGACAGAUGUGAAAUCCCCGGGCUCAACCUGGGACCUGCAUUUGUGACUGUAUAGCUAGAGUAUGGUAGAGGGGGAUGGAAUUCCGCGUGUAGCAGUGAAAUGCGUAGAUAUGCGGAGGAACACCGAUGGCGAAGGCAAUCCCCUGGACCUGUACUGACGCUCAUGCACGAAAGCGUGGGGAGCAAACAGGAUUAGAUACCCUGGUAGUCCACGCCCUAAACGAUGUCAACUGGUUGUUGGGUCUUCACUGACUCAGUAACGAAGCUAACGCGUGAAGUUGACCGCCUGGGGAGUCGGCCGCAAGGUUGAAACGUUAAAGGAAUUGACGG
rnacentral:rRNA from 1 species